rnacentral:rRNA from 1 species
AUGGGAGGCAGCAGUGGGGAAUAUUGGACAAUGGGGGCAACCCUGAUCCAGCGACGCCGCGUGAGUGAAGAAGUAUUUCGGUAUGUAAAGCUCUAUCAGCAGGGAAGAAAAAAUCAAAAUUGACUGUACCUGACUAAGAAGCCCCGGCUAACUACGUGCCAGCAGCCGCGGUAAUACGUAGGGGGCAAGCGUUAUCCGGAUUUACUGGGUGUAAAGGGAGCGUAGACGGCAAAGCAAGUCUGAAGUGAAAUCCCGGGGCUCAACCCUGGAACUGCUUUGGAAACUGUUUAGCUAGAGUGCAGGAGAGGUAAGUGGAAUUCCUAGUGUAGCGGUGAAAUGCGUAGAUAUUAGGAGGAACACCAGUGGCGAAGGCGGCUUACUGGACUGUAACUGACGUUGAGGCUCGAAAGCGUGGGGAGCAAACAGGAUUAGAUACCCUGGUA